rnacentral:rRNA from 1 species
UAGGGAAUCUUCCACAAUGGGCGAAAGCCUGAUGGAGCAACGCCGCGUGAGUGAUGAAGGCCUUCGGGUUGUAAAACUCUGUCAUUCGGGACGAACCGGAGUCUGAGGAAAUGCAGACUCUCUGACGGUACCGGAGGAGGAAGCCCCGGCUAACUACGUGCCAGCAGCCGCGGUAAUACGUAGGGGGCAAGCGUUGUCCGGAUUCACUGGGCGUAAAGCGCGCGCAGGCGGUGAUGUAAGUCUGAGGUGAAAACCCGAAGCUCAACUUCGGGACUGCCUUGGUUCCUGCGUCACUUUAGGAUCGGUGAGGCAAGGGGCAUUCCACGUGUAGCGGUGAAAUGCGUAGAGCUGUGGAGGAACACCUGUGGCGAAGGCGCCUUGCUGGCCUAUUUCUGACGCUCAGGCGCGAAAGCGUGGGGAGCAAACAGG